GGGGGAGACAGUGAGGCUGGAGAGGGUAUAGGAGAUAGUGAGGAUGGAGAGGGUAUAGGAGACAGUGAGGAUGGAGAGGGUGGGGGAGACAGUGAGGCUGGAGAGGGUGUAGGAGACAGUGAGCCUAGAGAGGGUGUAGUAGACAGUGGGCUGGAGAGGGUGUAGGAGACAGUCAGGAUGGACAGGGUGUAGGAGACAGUGAGACUGGAGAGGGUGUAGGAGAGAGUGAGACUGGAGAGGGUGUAGGAGACAGUGAGGAUGGAGAGGGUGUAGGAGACAGUGAGGAUGGAGAGGGUGUUGUAGACUGUGAGGAUGGAGAGGGUGUAGGAGUCCGUGAGGAUGGAGAGGGUGUAGGAGACGGUGAGGAUGGAGAGGGUGUAGGAGACGGUGAGACUGGAGAGGGUGUAGGAGACAGUGAGACUGGAGAGGGUGUAGGAGACAGUGAGACUGGAAAGGGUGUAGGAGACAGUGAGGAUGGAGAGGGUCUAGGAGACAGUGGGCUGGAGAGGGUGUAGGAGACAGUGAGGAUGGAGAGGGUGUAGGAGACAGUAAGGCUGGAGAGGGUGUAGGAGACCGUGAGGAUGGAGAGGGUGUAGGAGACAGUGAGAUGGGAGAGGGUGUAGGAGACAGUGAGGUGGAUGGAGAGGGUGUAGGAGACAGUGAGGAUGGAGAGGGUGUAGGAGACAGUGAGGAUGGAGAGGGUGUAGGAGACAGUGAGUCUGGAGAGGGUGUAGGAGACAGUAAUGAUGGAGAGGGUGUAGGAUAUAGUGAGGGUGGAGAGGGUGAUGGAGACAGUGAGGGUGGAGAGGGUGAUGGAGACAGUGAGGCUGGAGAGGGUGUAGUAGACAGUGGGCUGGAGAGGGUGUGGGAGACCGUGAGGAUGGAGAGGGUGUAGGAGACAGUGAGACUGGAGAGGGUGUAGGAGACAGUGAGGUUGGAGAGGAUGUAGGAGUCCGUGAGGAUGGAGAGGGUGUAGGAGACAGUGAGGCUUGAGAGG
ensembl:lncRNA